rnacentral:rRNA from 1 species
CUUUACUGUAGCUUUGCAUUGGACUUUGAACCGGUUUGUGUAGGAUAGGUGGGAGACUGUGAAAGCGGAACGCUAGUUUCGCCGGAGUCGUCCUUGAAAUACCACCCUGAUUUGUUUGAGGUUCUAACCUUGGUCAGUGAAUCCUGAUCGGGGACCGUGCAUGGUAGGCAGUUUGACUGGGGCGGUCUCCUCCCAAAAGGUAACGGAGGAGUACGAAGGUACGCUUAGGGCGGUCGGACAUCGCCCAUAAAGUGCAAUGGCAAAAGCGUGCUUGACCGCGAGACCCACAAGUCGAGCAGGUGCGAAAGCAGGUCAUAGUGAUCCGGUGGUUCUGUAUGGAAGGGCCAUCGCUCAACGGAUAAAAGGUA